AUGGAGGGAUGUGUGUGAGCUGUAUUGAGAGUUCGUCUAAACUACCCCAAAUCCAGCCCGCACACCCGUUGUAAUUGCCACCGUUAAUGCAAA